rnacentral:rRNA from 1 species
CAUGGUUGGGGGGUCUAUUGCAGAUUACCCCGCCAUAGCAAACUCCGAAUACCGAAGAGUGCAAUCACGGGAGACAGACAUCGGGUGCUAACGUCCGGUGUCAAGAGGGAAACAACCCAGACCGCCAGCUAAGGUCCCCAAAUAUGGCUAAGUGGGAAACGAAGUGGGAAGGCUAAAACAGUCAGGAGGUUGGCUUAGAAGCAGCCACCCUUUAAAGAAAGCGUAAUAGCUCACUGAUCGAGUCGUCCUGCGCGGAAGAUGUAACGGGGCUAAGCCAUAUACCGAAGCUGCGGAUGCGAGCUAGUCUCGCAUGGUAGGAGAGCGUUCCGUAAGCCUGCGAAGGUGCGUUGAAAAGCGUGCUGGAGGUAUCGGAAGUGCGAAUGCUGACAUGAGUAGCGAUAAAGGGGGUGAAAGGCCCCCUCGCCGUAAGCCCAAGGUUUCCUACGCAACGUUCAUCGGCGUAGGGUGAGUCGGCCCCUAAGGCGAGGCAGAAAUGCGUAGCUGAUGGGAAGCAGGUCAAUAUUCCUGCACCAUUGUUAGAUGCGAUGGGGGGACGGAUCGCGGAAGGUUGUCCGGGUGUUGGAAGUCCCGGUCGCUGCAUUGGAGAAGGCGCUUAGGCAAAUCCGGGCGCAGGAUUCAAGGGUGUGGCGCGAGCUCCUUCGGGAGCGAAGCAAUUGGAAGUGGUUCCAAGAAAAGCCUCUAAGCUUCAGUCUAACGAUGACCGUACCGCAAACCGACACAGGUGGGCGAGAUGAGUAUUCUAAGGCGCUUGAGAGAACUCGGGAGAAGGAACUCGGCAAAUUGGUACCGUAACUUCGGGAUAAGGUACGCCCUGGUAGCUUGACUGGCCUGCGCCAGAAGGGUGAAGGGGUUGCAAUAAACUGGUGGCUGCGACUGUUUAAUAAAAACACAGCACUCUGCAAACACGAAAGUGGACGUAUAGGGUGUGACGCCUGCCCGGUGCCGGAAGAUUAAAUGAUGGGGUGCAAGCUCUUGAUUGAAGUCCCGGUAAACGGCGGCCGUAACUAUAACGGUCCUAAGGUAGCGAAAUUCCUUGUCGGGUAAGUUCCGACCUGCACGAAUGGCGUAACGAUGGCCACACUGUCUCCUCCCGAGACUCAGCGAAGUUGAAGUGUUUGUGAUGAUGCAAUCUACCCGCGGCUAGACGGAAAGACCCCAUGAACCUUUACUGUAGCUUUGCAUUGGACUUUGAACCGAUCUGUGUAGGAUAGGUGGGAGGCUAUGAAACCGGAACGCUAGUUUCGGUGGAGCCGUCCUUGAAAUACCACCCUGGUUUGUUUGAGGUUCUAACCUUGGCCCGUGAUCCGGGUCGGGGACAGUGCAUGGUAGGCAGUUUGACUGGGGCGGUCUCCUCCCAAAGCGUAACGGAGGAGUACGAAGGUACGCUAGGUACGGUCGGAAAUCGUGCUGAUAGUGCAAUGGCAUAAGCGUGCUUAACUGCGAGACCGACAAGUCGAGCAGGUGCGAAAGCAGGUCAUAGUGAUCCGGUGGUUCUGUAUGGAAGGGCCAUCGCUCAACGGAUAAAAGGUACUCUGGGGAUAACAGGCUGAUACCGCCCAAGAGUUCAUAUCGACGGCGGUGUUUGGCACCUCGAUGUCGGCUCAUCUCAUCCUGGGGCUGUAGCCGGUCCCAAGGGUAUGGCUGUUCGCCAUUUAAAGAGGUACGUGAGCUG